rnacentral:rRNA from 1 species
CCUACGGGUGGCAGCAGUCGAGAAUCAUUCACAAUGGGGGAAACCCUGAUGGUGCGACGCCGCGUGGGGGAAUGAAGGUCUUCGGAUUGUAAACCCCUGUCAUGUGGGAGCAAAUUAAAAAGAUAGUACCACAAGAGGAAGAGACGGCUAACUCUGUGCCAGCAGCCGCGGUAAUACAGAGGUCUCAAGCGUGGUUCGGAAUCACUGGGCGUAAAGCGUGCGUAGGCUGUUUUGUAAGUCGGGUGUGAAAGGCGCGGGCUCAACCCGCGGACGGCACAUGAUACUGCGAGACUAGAGUAAGGGAGGGGGAACCGGAAUUCGCGGUGUAGCAGUGAAAUGCGUAGAUAUCGAGAGGAACACUCGUGGCGAAGGCGGGUUCCUGGACAUUAACUGACGCUGAGGCACGAAGGCCAGGGGAGCGAAAGGGAUUAGAUACCCUUGUAGUC